UGAAACAAAGAGAAGAGGGAGAGGAGGCAUGGACAAAGGAAGAGGAUUUCAGAAAAUUAGAUUUUCAUUCACUUAUUAUGAACCCUAAAAAGAGGCUCUUAAAUAGAACCCUUUCUUUAAGUUCAAAUCCAAAUCCAAUCAGGAUUAAAUGGCUGGUUAUUAUCACAUAAUAACUCCUUUCAUUUAAUCUAAUUUUCUUCCUAAAAAAAUCAAACCCU
rnacentral:lncRNA from 1 species